UACGGGGGGGGCAAGCGUUGUUCGGAAUUACUGGGCGUAAAGGGCUCGUAGGCGGCCAACUAAGUCAGACGUGAAAUCCCUCGGCUUAACCGGGGAACUGCGUCUGAUACUGGAUGGCUUGAGGUUGGGAGAGGGAUGCGGAAUUCCAGGUGUAGCGGUGAAAUGCGUAGAUAUCUGGAGGAACACCGGUGGCGGAAGGCGGCAUCCUGGACCAAUUCUGACGCUGAGGAGCGAAAGCCAGGGGAGCAAACGGG
rnacentral:rRNA from 1 species